rnacentral:rRNA from 1 species
GACGAACGCUGGCGGCGUGCUUAACACAUGCAAGUCGAACGGAAAGGCUCCAGCUUGCUGGCGUACUCGAGUGGCGAACGGGUGAGUAACACGUGGGUAAUCUGCCCUGCACUCUGGGAUAAGCCUGGGAAACUGGGUCUAAUACUGGAUAUGACCUUUCUCCUUAUGGGGUUUGGUGGAAAGUUUUUCGGUGUAGGAUGAGCCCGCGGCCUAUCAGCUUGUUGGUGGGGUGAUGGCCUACCAAGGCGACGACGGGUAGCCGGCCUGAGAGGGUGAUCGGCCACAUUGGGACUGAGAUACGGCCCAGACUCCUACGGGAGGCAGCAGUGGGGAAUAUUGCACAAUGGGCGGAAGCCUGAUGCAGCGACGCCGCGUGGGGGAUGACGGCCUUCGGGUUGUAAACCUCUUUCAGCAGGGACGAAGCGUAAGUGACGGUACCUGCAGAAGAAGCACCGGCUAACUAUGUG